ACAGUAGGCUUUGAUGGCAAGACAUCCCGAUGAGUUCAUAAUAUAAUCGGAUGGACACACACUGAAUUUGCUCACUACUUCCUCCAAGCAUAGAGAACGUCUAUCUCAGAAAGCUGGCUUUAGCUGUUUCUAUCCAGUUUCGCAGCCACUGGGAGGGCCAGGGAGAGGGGGAUGCACAGGGAGCUUGAGCAAGCGAUGAAGGAAGUUGUGGCGGCCAAGACUGGCCUCUGUGGCAUCAGCAGUCACCUGGAAUGUAAACUUGACAACACUCUAGACAUGAACCAAAGAGGGACACGGGCAGACAGAGAAGGACGCAGAAAGGUUACUGCCUGUGCUCCCUUUCUGGAACAAACAAAUAACAUUUGAGUUGCUUUGACAUGUUGGAGAAACUCCAGCAAAGCAGAAGAAUUCAAGAGAGAGGAAAACCGAGGGUGUGAGAAGCUGAAACUGACUAAGAACUUCAGGUACAGAAAUUUCGAGUAACAGCUGGGUCACAAGACAACCAACAUUGAAAUCCUCCAAGAGCUGAUUAGAAACUUGCAAAAAAUAAAAAGACGCACUGUUCAAGAAAGCCACUAUCUGAAAUAAAGCAGGCUGUUAACUCCAAAAUGAACUUGAGACCUGACAAAGCGGAAGGAGCAGCGUUUUUCAUGCGGACAAGGCCAGGCCGCCUUUGGUCAGAGAAACCGUAAGAAAUCUCGGAUGAAAUAUUUGCCUGAGGUUCUACAGCUCUUUCAGCCCAUCAACAGCGGCACUUGUGCUAACUCCUGACUCUCACUACAAGGAAUUGACUCAUCAGAGGAUGAUUCUGCUCCUGGAGCAAGGAGACUUGAGAAUGGGACUGUGAAACAAGGAUAGCAGACCAGUCAUGGUGGAAGUGUAUGGAAGCCACUGACCAAACUGCCACAAUUUUGUCGCUAAAAAGGGAAAAGGAAUUGGAGUGCCUGGGUGGCUC